rnacentral:sRNA from 1 species
AUAUUGUAUGUUGAGUGCAGGUGAGAAGCUGCGUUCAGGUUUGAGCCGAGCGAAGCGAGACAGCGUUGCGCUUGCCGCAACGACCCGAAGGGUGAGGGCAAAGCCUGAGUCAUCCUGCAUGACCCACCA